CUCCGAGGCGCUCCGAGCGGCCGCCGCCUCGGGCUGAAGGCCCGGGCUCCGCCAGCGGACGCGGCUCCCGCUCGGACUCCGGCUCAGCGCUCCCCUCCGCCGCCGCCGCAGCGCUACGUGGCCGCCCGCAGCCAGUCUCGCGACUCCGCCGCGCGCACGCGCGGGCACGCGCCGAGGAGGUGGUUGCCGCGGGCGCGCGCGGGGGGGAGACACCCAUAGGCUGAGGGGAGGGCGAGCGGCACGAGGCGCGCAGCGGCGCAUGCGCGGUUGCUUCCCCCCCCCUUCCCUCUCUAUUCAGCUUAGGCGGUGGAGGGGACGCGGAGCGCAGGUGAGCGCACGGUGGGGGGGAGCUGUGCGCAUGCGCAGCGCCCGGCGGGGUUCAGGUGAGGCGCGCGCGCGACGGAAGGAGGCGCCGAGCGGCGGCUGCCCCCGGCCGGGCCGACCGUUACUCCGCUGAGGGCCUGUGUGAUCUGAGAGGGAGUGAUGCGACAAGACAUGGAUUUCACUGAUAGAACUCGCAGCUUGGGGCAGAGAGAAAAACUGAAGGAGAACUCUUACCAAGGAUACAUCAUCCAGAAUGAGGCCAAAAGUUGCUGCUCUCUCUGUGAGGUCUUCACUCACUUGCCUGGAGACCAGUUCUCUUUGAGUGAUCAACUCUCCAGCAUCAAAGCGAGCCUGAGCGAGAAGAAAGCUCUCAGAAUCUCUGCUUGUCACCCAACUCCAUGAAAGUAAAGCCAAGUAGUUAGAAUGACAGGGAAGCAAUUAGCAUGGCUACAGUUUUAACUCUUCUGGAUUGCCUGUUAGAGCCAAGGAGUAGAAAGAGAAGCCUCAUUUUGGAGCUUUACAUUUUCCACAAUUCAGCAGGUCCCAUCAGUGCUAAAACAAAAGAGAGGUGAGGGGUGGAGCCCAGCAGCAUUCAUGCUAUUCUUACCACAACAGACUUGAGGAUUUCAGUUGUGAUGGAGGGCAGGACGCGCUCAUCGUAGUCCUCUCCAAUACUUGUGAAAAUCCGGGGUAACUGCGCAGUCACCGGUCUGAACAGGAUACGCAGUGUGAUGUUCACAUUCUGUAGAUCUGCAGAAAUAGUCACAAAUUUAGCAGCAGACCUCAUGGGCAGGAGAUAUCUUGAUGUUGUCCUCUCCAGAGGAAAGCAAAAUAAGACAAAAUAAACAUUCAGACUUCUGAGAAAGGAAAGGUUUUUAGUAUUUCUUUCACCAAGGACUGCUUUUCACCUAGGGAUCCAAAUGCUCCUUACAGAUUAAAUUUAAGCUUCAGUUUGUCUGUAAUGCAGGGAAUUACUGACCCUACUGCAAACAAAGAAAUUUCUUAUUUAAGGGACAAAUAUCAAACUAUUCCUGACUGCUAAACUCUGCACACAUUGAAUCUCCACGUUCAGAAAAGAAAGCCCUCAUGCCUAUAGUACUUUUCAGCAGGUUAACGAUCAUAAAAGUCUUGAUUGUGGGAAAGCUUCUUCUCAUGCCUCUGUUCACCCAGCUGCAAAGCAGCAAAAGAGUGAGACACACACACAGCACAUCAGACUGCCCAGAUCUUGUAGAGCUGCC
rnacentral:lncRNA from 1 species